rnacentral:tRNA from 1 species
GCGGGGGUGGUGGAAUUGGCAGACACGCCAGACUUAGGAUCUGGUGCCGUAUGGCUUGGGGGUUCAAGUCCCCCCUCCCGCA